UGUGAGUUAAAGAAAGAAAAAACAAAGAAAGAAAGAAAAUUUUUUUUAUUUGAUCACUACAUCACAUCACAAUACAAUAUAUCUUAAAACUAUGAAUGAACAU